GUAAAGGGCAUGCUGGGAAGGCAAGAGCCAGAGCCGCCUCCCCAGAGCAUGCUGGGAGGAGGGGCACCAGAGCCGCCUCUCUAGAGCAUGCUGGGAGGAUGGGCACCAGAGCCGCCUCCCCAGAGCGUGCUGGGAGGAUGGGCACCAGAGCCGCCUCUCUAGAGCAUGCUGGGAGACGGACACCAGUACAUCUCCAAGGACUGCACUUCCCCCGACUCCCACCCCAUUCCCUCACCCACCCCCAACCCGGAGACUAGAGGAAAGUCUGUCCAAAGAUGACUGUGGAAUAGGGAAUGCCAUGGUUCUCUGCAGGUCCCCCACACUAUGGGGGGUUAAGUCAGCAAGUAGGGAAAACAGUCAAGACGAGGAGAUGGAGAAACAGAGAGGCAGGAGAGAAACAGGGGGCUGACAAAGAUGGAGGGGCCAUUGUGUUGCCGGAGGACGAGGGGCUGCUAGCCGGAGGCAUUGAUGUACAGCUGGCUUUUGAGGAUGUAGUCGAUGACCGGCUGGGACAGACCCUGCACUUGAUGGACCAGCUGGCACCACCCAGAUCAAUAAACUGGCUUAUUUGAAUUUGCGGCCCCCCACCCAGGAACUGACUCAGUGCAAGAAGACAGCUUCGACUCCCUGUGAUUUCAUCUCUGACCAAUCCGCACUCCUGGCUCACUGGCUUCCCCAACCCAUGAAGUUUUCCUUAAAAACUCUGCUCCCGAAAUGCUCAGGGAGACUGAUUUGAUAACAAUAAAACUCUGGUCUCCCGCACAGCCGGCUCUGCGUGAAUUACUCUUUCUCUAUUGCAAUUCCCCUGUCUUGAUGAAUCUGCUCUGUCUAG
rnacentral:lncRNA from 1 species